AUGCCAGACUCCUACGGGAGGCAGCAGUGGGGAAUAUUGCACAAUGGGGGGAACCCUGAUGCAGCGAUGCCGCGUGGAGGAAGAAGGUUUUCGGAUUGUAAACUCCUUUUAUCAGGGACGAUAAUGACGGUACCUGAAGAAAAAGCUCCGGCUAACUACGUGCCAGCAGCCGCGGUAAUACGUAGGGAGCGAGCGUUGUCCGGAAUUACUGGGUGUAAAGGGAGCGUAGGCGGGACGGCAAGUCUGGUGUGAAAACCCGGGGCUCAACCCCGGGACUGCAUUGGAAACUGCCGGGCUGGAGUGUCGGAGGGGUAAGCGGAAUUCCUAGUGUAGCGGUGAAAUGCGUAGAUAUUAGGAGGAACACCAGUGGCGAAGGCGGCUUACUGGACGAUGACUGACGCUGAGGCUCGAAAGCGUGGGGAGCAAACAGGAUUAGAUACCCGGGUACA
rnacentral:rRNA from 1 species